ensembl:lncRNA
GAGCGCGGUAAAGUUAGUUUUAGGUUUGAUAUUCGCUGGAUAUUCGCCUAGGCUUGCUUUAGGGACCGUCUGCAAAUAUACCUCUCAGUACAGAACGAAGUCCAAUAAUUAAUACAAAUUAUGUUUCCAACAUUACAGUAAAUGUCUUGUGGGCAAACUGACACAAAAUAUUUAGCCAAUAUGUCCCUACUAACAAUAUCUCCCUUACUGUAUAUAAUAAUUCUUUAAAAACAAUUACUGUAAAUCACCAAAAGGGUUUUUUCAUGUUCCAAAGGUUGUAGUACGUUUGUAGUUACAAGACUUACUUACUACAGGUGAAAUUUUGCCAUUAUCUCCCUUACUGUACGUACAGUACACACUCUUUUAAAAAACAAUUACUGUAAAUCACCAAAAUUGUUUUUUCCUGUUCCAAUGGUUGUAGUAAAUUUGUAUUUACAAGACUGAAAUACUACAGGUGAAUGUUUGCCAAUAUCUCCCUUACUGUACGUACAGUACAUAAU